rnacentral:rRNA from 1 species
GAGGGAUCCGAGUCUACACUCAUCACCCUGUGACUUACCUAAAACGUUGCUUCGGCGGGAACAGACGGCCCCGUAAAACGGGCCGCCCCCGCCAGAGGACCCUUAACUCUGUUGCUAUAGUAUCUUCUGAGUAAAACAAGCAAAUAAAUUAAAACUUUCAACAACGGAUCUCUUGGCUCUGGCAUCGAUGAAGAACGCAGCGAAAUGCGAUAAGUAAUGUGAAUUGCAGAAUUCAGUGAAUCAUCGAAUCUUUGAACGCACAUUGCGCCCGCCAGUAUUCUGGCGGGCAUGCCUGUUCGAGCGUCAUUACAACCCUCAGGCCCCCGGGCCUGGCGUUGGGGAUCGGCGAGGCGCCCCCUGUGGGCACGCGCCGUCCCCCAAAUACAGUGGCGGUCCCGCCGCAGCUUCCAUUGCGUAGUAGCUAACACCUCGCAACUGGAGAGCGGCGCGGCCAUGCCGUAAAACACCCAACUUCUGAAUGUUGACCUCGAAUCAGGUAGGAAUACCCG